AGUGUAGUCUAGAACCACUUGCAUGAUAAGACACUCACUCACUUCUCAUAAUGCAUUCACACAAUGUGUUACCAAGAAGUAAAUCAGGGACUUUUUCCUCUCAGAUUCAUUUCAGUUGUUAUGUCACAAUAGCAUUGUAAGGGAAGGCUGCGUGUCACAUCAAAUGGGAUCAAGUUCUUAGCAGUCCCUUCCCAGUCUUAAGUACAAAGUCAACUACCAUUUGCUUAUCACCAAGAGUUACAGUCUGAUGAGGAACAGAAAUCUGAACUGAAAACUUGCAAGGUUUCGCAGGCUGUUUGAGUAUCACAAGGCAGAUUAAGCAGAAAUUUGGAGGCCAAGUUCAUAACAAAUAGUUACUUCAUCGCAAUUACAGAUUUUAAAAAUUGAAUAAAUUUUAAUAAAUGUGUCAACUUGAUACAUAUUGAUUGUAGCUUGAACUACAGAUCUGAAGCAAAAAAAAAAGAAAUUUGAGGAGAAAUAUGUAGGUCCUUAGGUUUAACAAAAAAUUAAGAUAUUUUCCCAAAGGGCACACCUACCCACCCUUUAUUAAUGUUCUAAUCAGCUAAAUGGAGUAAUAAUGAAAGAACUUUUAAUGACAUAAGUAGUUUAAAAAGGAUAGGUUAUAUUAUGGCAAUAUAUGUAUAAUCAAUUUAGAAUGGGUCUUUAAUAAUAAUAGCAGGGCGCUCUUGUAGAACAGUUUUCGAAACUAAAGUUGCUACCCUGGGUAAAUAUACCUAUAUUAUUAUUAUUACUAUUUUUAUUAUUAUCAUUACUGAGGUCUGGGUUAUUUAACAAUUAACAUGCAUGCCUUUAGACAUACAUAAGACAAAUAAUGGAUUUUCAUUGAAAAUUUUGCAUAAUAAAAAAAACACAUGGUGAGAGAAUAAAGGAUUAAGAAAUCACUGUCACUUUUAGACCCCAUUCCAUAAAGAUUUACCACUAUAACUUUGCCAUUCUGGUAAUUACCAUGGAAACAUUAAAGUAACAGAUCAGCAUUGAGGUUCCCAUGCUAGUUGCUAGUUACAAUCGGUGCAAAUUUACCAUAAUUGAAGUCUUUAUGAAACAAAGACCUCUAGUGCUAGACAUUAAGAUGUUGAAUUUAUUUGGGGGGGGGGGGGAGUGAAAAGUUGCACUGUUUUUUUUUUAAUCUCUUUUUGUUCUUGUAACUCUGUAUUGUCCAUGUCCCGUAUUAAGAACUAAAAUAGCUCUGAAAAAAAAAUUGUUGCAAAUAGAACACAACUCUAGCAACAAUUCACAACAAAUAGACAAUUAGUAAUUUUGUUACUGAUUUACUGAUGUGCAAAUUUGGGAAGGCACUCUUUAGAGAAAUGUGGCAAUGUGCUCCCCUUUUUGGUGAAGUGCCCUCGAUUAGAUUAGCAUGCUAUUUCUUGUCAGCAAAUGCUGAAAAAAAAAUGAUAUUUGAGUAACCGACUUUGAGAGAGAGUAUAACGUUAAUCUUUUUUUAAUGACAACCUUGAUGCCCCCUUAUAUUGACUAUAUAAGGCUUAUCAAUACUUAUGAAAGUGAGUAUACAUAUUUUUUUCUAGAUUUUACCAGAAAAAUUACAUCCCCUCGUAAAAGCCUUGCAAUUUCUUUUGCAUUCAUUGUAUGUAUUUUGCUGAUGUGAUGUAAUGUGAUGCUUUGCCGAGAAAAAAAGGAUAAGAAUAUUUUAAUCAAGUAUUCAAAAAUUGAUUCCUUGAUAAACAUUUAAAUUUC